AAUUUGUCACAUAGACGGUCUAAAAAAAUACAUAUAGUAUAGUACAACAUGCUUUCUAUCCCAAGAUUCCUGCGGCUGGCAACCACAUUAUCUUGGAUCAUGAUCAUGCAUGCAGGAUAAAAAAAGAACCAGAAAAAGCUUGCCUACCACAAACAAAGAUGCAGAAUCCCAGUAACUGAUAGGUUAACAUCAACAUAAUCUUACAGAUACUAGUCAGAAAUAAAGGAAAUAGAACAGGACACAAUUGCAAGUAACAUAUAAGUGCCCACAAAAAGUAAUACAAUUUCAAUAUUAAACUCUUUAAUACAUGAAUUCUUUAUUAAAAUAUUCCUGCCUAAAAAGUCUAUCCCACAGGAUAUAUCCACUCUGACUUCCUCAAUCUACUGUUGCAUGCUGCUGCACAGAUCCAAUGGCUCUUUAAGUACCGUGAGACAGCUCGCAAAAAGCCCGCAAGUUAGCAUUGAGACGUGAUGUGAGGAGAUUUGUGCCGGCCAUGCUAUGCAGAGGCAAGAA